rnacentral:misc_RNA from 1 species
AGCAGCCGCGGUAAUUCCAGCUCCAAUAGCGUAUAUUAAAGUUGUUGCAGUUAAAAAGCUCGUAGUUGAAUUUCGGGAUCAGUACGCCGGUCGUGCCUUCGGUAUGCACUGGUGUCACUGGUUUCUCCCUUCUGAAGAACCAUCAUGCCAUUAAGUUGGUGUGGCGGGAAAUCAGGACUGUUACUUUGAAAAAAUUAGAGUGUUUAAAGCAGGCUCGCGCUUGAAUACAUUAGCAUGGAAUAAUGAAAUAGGACGUUUGACCCUAUUUUGUUGGUUUCUAGGAUCGACGUAAUGAUUAAUAGGGAUAGUUGGGGGCAUUAGUAUUCAAUUGUCAGAGGUGAAAUUCUUGGAUUUAUUGAAGACUAACUACUGCGAAAGCAUUUGCCAAGGAUGUUUUCAUUAAUCAAGAACGAAAGUUAGGGGAUCGAAGACGAUCAGAUACCGUCGUAGUCUUAACCAUAAACUAUGCCGACUAGGGAUCGGAUGAUGUUAAUUUUUUAAUGACUCAUACGGCGCCUUA